UAAUACGAAGGUCCCGAGCGUUGUUCGGAAUCACUGGGCGUAAAGGGAGCGUAGGCGGCGUGGUAAGUCAGAUGUGAAAUCCCGGGGCUCAACCCCGGAACUGCAUCCGAUACUGCCGUGCUAGAGGAUUGGAGAGGUAGCUGGAAUUCUUGGUGUAGCAGUGAAAUGCGUGGAGAUCAAGAGGAACACUCGUGGCGAAAGCGAGCUACUGGACAAUAUCUGACGCUGAGGCUCGAAGGCCAGGGUAGCGAAAGGG
rnacentral:rRNA from 1 species